rnacentral:lncRNA from 1 species
AUUAGAAAUUUCAGGUGCAAGACCUUAAGAAAAAUAGCAUAAGGGCACAAGAGCUGCCCAAGCAGCCUAGGUGAAAGGUUUCAGAGCUGCGAGUGGCAAGCCUACAGAAUUGGAAUUAGACAAACCUUAUCAUAAGAGAUUAGAGUUGCAGCCUCUGACACAAAUUAAUCAUCCUUAUCAACGCCUAGCAUCCUGA